rnacentral:rRNA from 1 species
GAUGAACGCUGGCGGCGUGCCUAAUACAUGCAAGUCGAGCGAGCGGACGAGAAGCUUGCUUCUCUGAUGUUAGCGGCGGACGGGUGAGUAACACGUGGAUAACCUACCUAUAAGACUGGGAUAACUUCGGGAAACCGUAGCUAAUACCGGAUAAUAUUUUGAACCGCAUGGUUCAAAAGUGAAAGACGGUCUUGCUGUCACUUAUAGAUGGAUCCGCGCUGCAUUAGCUAGUUGGUAUGGUAACGGCUUACCAAGGCAACGAUGCAUAGCCGACCUGAGAGGGUGAUCGGCCACACUGGAACUGAGACACGGUCCAGACUCCUACGGGAGGCAGCAGUAGGGAAUCUUCCGCAAUGGGCGAAAGCCUGACGGAGCAACGCCGCGUGAGUGAUGAAGGUCUUCGGAUCGUAAAACUCUGUUAUUAGGGAAGAACAUAUGUGUAAGUAACUGUGCACAUCUUGACGGUACCUAAUCAGAAAGCCACGGCUAACUACGUG